AUAUCAAUAAGCGGAGGAAAAGAAACUAACAAGGAUUCCCCUAGUAACUGCGAGUGAAGCGGGAAGAGCUCAAAUUUAAAAUCUGGCAGUCCUUGUGGCCGUCCGAGUUGUAAUUUAGAGAAGUGUCACCCGUGCUGGACCGUGUACAAGUCUCCUGGAACGGAGCGUCGUAGAGGGUGAGAAUCCCGUACAUGACACGGACUGCCAGGGCAAUGUGGUGUGCUCUCAAAGAGUCGAGUUGUUUGGGAAUGCAGCUCAAAAUGGGUGGUAAAUUCCAUCUAAAGCUAAAUAUAGGCGAGAGACCGAUAGCGAACAAGUACCGUGAGGGAAAGAUGAAAAGAACUUUGGAAAGAGAGUUAAACAGUACGUGAAAUUGUUGAAAGGGAAACGCUUGAAGUCAGUCGCGUCGGCCGGGGAUCAACCUUGCGCUUUGCUUGGGGUACUUUCCGGUUGACGGGUCAGCAUCAAUUUCGAUCGUCGGAAAAAGCUUGCGGUAAUGUGGCAUCUUCGGGUGUGUUAUAGACCGUAUUCGUAUACGACGGUUGGGAUUGAGGAACUCAGCACGCCGCAAGGCCGGGUGUUCGCACCACGUAACGUGCUUAGGAUGCUGGCAUAAUGGCUUUAAUCGA
rnacentral:rRNA from 1 species